GUUAAUAUGUUAUUUGAAAAAGCUCCAUAAGUCAGUAGCUCUUUGGAAAACAGACAUACAAGUUUCAGGUUUAGACGUUAAAGAGUCAAAACUAUGUGGGAAAAUACAGAAGUGGUGACAAAACGAGUACUGAGUCUUUGUUGCACUAGGAAAUGACUUGUUUAACUAGAUAGCUUUGCUACUCCCUCCCCAAUGUGUGUUAAUUAUUCAUGGAUUAAGUCUCCCAGGUGUGCCCCUGUAUUCUAUAGCUACAUCCAUCCAAUAAGGCUUUACCACCUUCUCACUCAUGUUUCUUUGUUUUUUCUGGCAUGUCUUGGUAGAAUGCUUAACUAAAAUUUUUACAGAUAAAUUAGGAUGUUUCUUUUCUUAAAAGCUUCCAACAGCUUCCCAUUGAAUUUAGGACAAAACACAAACAUCCUGAGGCUGCACACAACCCAUAUGGUCCUGCCUGCCCCUCCGAACUUUUCUGUUGUCCCUCCCCCAUCUCCUCGCUGUGCUCCAGUGGGCUUCCUCUGUUCCUCACAUGCACGAUGUUCACUCCCACCUCAUGUAUUUUGUAUUUGCCAUUCUCUAGGCUUGGAAUACUCUUCUUCACAGCUACCUCCCACCUAUAAUUUGGACAUCAAUUCAAAUGAUACCUCCUAAGAGAGAUCACUUCCUCAUCACCCCAUCUGAUACUUGUCCCCUCCCUAACUCUUAAACAUCUCUAUAUUGUUAGUCACUUGUUGUUUUCGUCAAGGCACUUGACAUUAUCUGAAAGCAUUGGCUUUUCUCCUUGUUUAUUAUCUGAUGAGAGUAGAGACAUUGCCUUGUUCGCUGCUGUAUCAUUAGCACCCAGAACAGUGCACAUAGGAGGUAUUCAAUAAACAUUUGUUGACAGAGAAAUGAAUGAAGAAGGUAUAAAUAUUCCAAGUGAGCAUUUGAAGAGACCAUUUUACAGGGGUCAGAGAUAGAGUCACUCGCCAGGUGGAAAGAAUAAUUCUUUCCUGUUCUGUCACCUUGCUGUAAUAAAUGCACUUUGGUGAUAUUGACCUUUUUAUGCAAACCUCAUUCUUUAUUCUGCACGCUGUCACACUCCAGAGAGGAGAAAUAAUCCAACCUGUAACUUUAUUAAUGAAUCAACCUUAUUUGGAAACCAGCCAUAGCCUUACCUAUACUUGAAGCACCACUGCAUUACUUAUAUAAUAGUGCUUUCUGCUAGAAAAUCAAUAUUCCUGGACUAUUAUUACAAAGACCUUUGUUUCCUCUUAUAUAAUUAUAAUUCCACGUAAUCAGAUUGCUAUUAUUAGAAUGGCACUACUUAUGAGAUUUCACCUUAAAAGUUCAAAAUAACUUCCUUUUAUUCAGUGGUGGUUUAAAUGGUGUUCAGGCAAUAUAUCAUUAUUUUUCACAGUAAAUUGCAUGAGAUCUUACACAGUAGCUUUGAAAUUACUGCUUGUUGUCACCACUAUAUACAACCACAUAAACAGUAUGUGGUUUGUACAGUAGAUCAUUUUUCUUGUUUAUAUUCAGCAGACCCUCAUGCUACACAUUAACACGAGCUGUUAAAAAAUGACAGUAGUAUUUUAUCUCUUGCUACCAAGAUCUUUUGUGUAGAGAAGUUGUUUUUCCUAAGCAGUAUAUGUUGCUGAAUAAUAAUAAAGGUUGAUAUGAUAAACAGUGGUAUAUUUUUCAGGAUUCAUUUGCAAUGUAAAAUGGAAUGUAAAUAGAAAAAUUACAGAAAGGGUCAAGUAUAAGGAAAGUUAGAUUCCAUACCUAAAUCCAAGUCAAUUUUAUUAUCCACCAAGAUCUUAUCUCAUAGGUUGUGCAUGGUGAAUCCUGUAGAAAUAUAUGUGUAUGUUUUACAUAAAAGAAUCUAAAACAAGUUUCAAUAUCCCAAAACGUUUGACGGCUGUUUUCAAUAUUUUCCCCUCAUUUUCUGCUGUUCUUUCUUUUUCGUUUUUUUCUCUUUCCAUGAGAAAACAAACACCUCAGGGACGUGUACCAUUUUUUCCACAUCAACUAUGUACUAGGUUCAGAAAAGAUACAUGUCAGCUGACUAAAAAUGAAAUAACUUUCAUGAAACAAUUGUUUCUUUUCAGAAAGCACAAAUAUACUUGCUUAUACUAAUGAUAAAUACAGAGUUGGGAAGUUUCUUUGAGUCUUUGUAUCUCCUCUGUGCUUAGGUUCCAACAUCACAGUAUUUAAAGUAAGAGACAUGAAAUCAAUUGACACAAAGCCGGGCCACAAGCAAGCCUCAAGAUCAAUGUCAUUAAACAUGUUUCAGGU
ensembl:lncRNA